CGCAUGAUGUAUUGCUAGUGAUUUGCAUUUCUUGUGAUGAUAACAAUGCCCCCGUCUGAGUGCCAUGACUGAGUAACACAUCUGAAUAAUGCCAUGACCCGUCUGUGACUUCUAAUACCCUUGCCUCUCACUAAUACCUUGUCUGUGCCUCAUGUCUUGCAGAGUAGUGUUGAGAGUAGUGAGGGCUACUUAACACUGGCUCUUGUUUAGCUGAGUUGAAGAAAGGUUGGAACUGUGUUCGUGCUGCCUGGCAUGAAAGUUGAUGAAUGCCACCGCUAUCUUAGGGAUCCUGGGGACUUCUCCAUAGACUGGACAUGACUUCACCUUUUCAAGGAUUCCAGGGGGACUUUUCCAAAGGCUGGGCAUCGCUAUUUUUUCAAGGAUACUACAGUGACAUCAGCAGACCAGGGCAGCCAGCAACCUUCACCUCAUUCCUUUUAUCAUCCUCACGUGACAUCAUAGGACCAGACAAGUGAACAACCGUCUCAUUGUAUGUUUUUUAGGGACCUUGUGGUGACAUUGUUUGGCGUACUGACUGACAAUCUCUACCUCGAUUCUUCUCACAUCUACGCUUAGAAAAACUAAGAUCCUCUUGUGACAUCGUAGGACCAAGCUAGUCAACAAAUCAUCCCUUUUCAUGAUCCUCUUGUGACAUCGUAGGACCAAGCUAAUCAACAAAUCAUCCGUUUUCAUGAUCCUCUUGUGACAUUGUAGGACCAAGCUAGUCAACAAAUCAUCCCUUUUCAUGAAUCCUGCAAUGACAUCAACAAUAAAAUGAGGCUGAUCUUGAGGUCGCCAGGCAUCCUAUCUGAGUAAAUGUUUGGAAGGGGCAGCGCUGAAUGAACCUCAAGUAUAAUCCCAAAUCCAUCCCCAACUGCAGCAACAUGGGUUAUUUUUGCCAGUUUGUACACAACUUUACAAUUAGUACUGAUAUCAGGGGGGAAGAAAACUAAAAAUUGAGCUAAAGAAUAAGAGCAAAGUAUUGUCAGAAUGAAGAUGAAUUCCAGAUCUAAAUCAACACUGCAGUCUGGCCUCACCAAACCCAAUUCCUUGAGCAUAAACUGAUCUUUGUCAUCCUACACAGCAGAUUCAGUAACUUAGGUGUGGUAUUGUAAAAUAGUUGAUAAUCCAUUUUCAUACCUAGAGCAAAUUUUCCUAAAUACAUAUGAAUACACAUACAGAUUGAAAUGAAUUUAAACGUAAGGAUACAUAAGUCAAAGCUGACAAUAAUCUUGAUUGCAAUGUCUCAAGCAAGAAAAUAAAGACUGUGUACAUUCCUCA